rnacentral:rRNA from 1 species
GAGGGUGAUCGGCCACAUUGGAACUGAGACACGGUCCAAACUCCUACGGGAGGCAGCAGUGGGGAAUAUUGCACAAUGGGCGAAAGCCUGAUGCAGCAACGCCGCGUGAGUGAUGAAGGUCUUCGGGUCGUAAAACUCUGUCCUCAAGGAAGAUAAUGACGGUACUUGAGGAGGAAGCCCCGGCUAACUACGUGCCAGCAGCCGCGGUAAUACGUAGGGGGCUAGCGUUAUCCGGAUUUACUGGGCG